GGCGCUGAAGCGUCGUGCCUAUACCGGGCCGCCGGUGGCAGAAGGCGGGCGGCUUCGGCUGCUCGCUGCGAAACCCCNNNGAGUAGGAGGGUCGCGACGGUGAGCGCUGAAGGGUCUGGGCGUGAGCCUGCCUGGAGCCGCCGUCGGUGCAGAUCUUGGUGGUAGUAGCAAAUACUCCAGCGAGGCCCUGGAGGACUGAUGUGGAGAAGGGUUCCGUGUGAACAGCCGUUGCACACGGGUCAGUCGAUCCUAAGCCCUAGGAGAAAUCCGAUGUUGAUGGUCGCGGGAUGUUUCAUGCCUUGUCUUGGCCUCGAAAUCCUUUUUUAUCCCGAGGAACGGUCGUCGUCGUUCGUGUCGUGUCGAGUGGUUUUGCCAUGUGUGUGCGUUCUCCGUCCAUCAAGACCCCUUUGGGUUCGAUGGCGGGGGUAUUGCGCCGUGUCUCACCACGCGUCGUCGGCGGCGGAGGCGUCGUGUCCUCAAGAGUCGCACUGGCCGUGGCGACGGUUUGCCCGCGUCGAGAGACGCGGGGGAGGUGGUAACCCGAGAGGGUUUUUGUACGUUCGUUGGUUUCGUUUAUUUUUUGCGAGAGAAAGGAGAUCGCCGCCGUCCCCCCCCUUGCGAGGCGGGGGAGGAGGAGAGUCUGCCCGCGUACCUCGCAAAUCACGACUUGCCCUCGCUUCGUAUGUUGCGCUCCACCUGCCCCCGUUGUAAUUCGAGACGAAUGGGUAGCCGGUCGGCCUCGCGUCCCGUAAAGAUGCGGCAAAGGAGAGUAGGGUCAAUCUCUUGACGAGCGAACUAGCUCCCCGUCCGUCGGGCGAAAGGGAAUCCGGUUCCUAUUCCGGAACCCGGUUGCGGAACCGCACUCACGAUCCUCGUAUUGACACGGUAACGUGAAAGACCCCAGAGAAGCCGUCUGGAGCCCCGGGAAGAGUUUUCUUUUCUGCCUGAGCGUUCGGGUUCCAUGGAAUCCUCUCAAAGGGAGAUAUGGAAUGGAACGCGAAGAGCACCGCAGUUGCUGCGGUGUCCGGGGAGUCCCGUCGGUCCUUGAAAAUCUGGGUGAGGGUCACGUGGAGGCGUCGCACCGGCUCGUACCCAUAUCCGCAGCAGGUCUCCAAGGUCAAGAGCCUCUAGUCGAUAGACUAAU
rnacentral:rRNA from 1 species